rnacentral:rRNA from 1 species
AUGAGAGGAAGAAGAAGAGUGGCGCUGCGAGGAGGCGGCCGUGGCGCGCGGCGGCGUCCGCGGCGGACGCGGCGUGCGCGGCCGACAUGGAGGCAUCGGCUGUGGCGCGCGGUGAGCGCGUGGCGAAGGCGACGCGCGACGAGUCCGCGGCUGUGCGGUGUGAUGUCGUGCGCGCGAAGAGCACGGUGGUCGCGGAGAGGAGGAGGUCGCGGAGGACCUGCAUGGUGGCACAGAGGCUGCGGUGGCGCGGUGUGGCGGCAUGGAGGUGCUGCGCUGCGGUUGAUGCCGCAGCGGUGCAGGGCAAUAAGCCGUGGCGGCGAGCCGGGCGCGACCGGUGCGUGUUAUGGGUGCACACUGGACGCGUCGGGCGCGUCAGGACCGCGGGCGCGCGUACGAGCGAGCGGUUGA